UUGUCCAAAAGUGUAGUGUGUGCAUACACACAGUGUCAACUGUCAGGUACAAGACAAAAGCAAAGAAGUACCCAUACGAAACUGGUUUCCUUUGUGUACUUGUAGGUUAUGUGUCUUAAACCAAGAGGAGGAGAAAAAAAAAACUUUGAAAGAAGAGUUAAAGGCACACCAAGCACUGUGAGGGAAAAAAAAAAAAUAACCAUGUGAGCGUGUUUGUGUAGGAUGAAAGAGGAGGCAUAUGGGGAAGAAGCAACUUUAAUAACACUACAUCAUCAUCAUCAUCAUCAUCAUGAUGCUGUGUCCUUUUUCAGAAACACACACACACACCUUCACUUUCCAAAUCUCUCAGAAUUCUAUGCUUUCCAUUUCCCACCUGUCUCUCUCUCCUCAUGAUUUGAAUACUUAACUUGGUUUCUCUAUUAUUACUAUUGUAUACUAUUACACACACAUUGGUCAACUCUUUUGUUGGUUUUGCUGCUCCACCUAAAGCUUUUACUACAACGUUCCCUCUCCCUAUAAAUACACAGUUCCUCCCUUUAACUUCACCCCCAUCCCAUUACAUCUUUCUCAGAAAGAAACCCUAUUUUCAAACCCCAAAAGGCUGAAAGUGAAACAAUAGUAGCCAAUGUGCAAUAUUAUGACAAAAGACCUUGUAGCAUAGAUUCUAAAUUAACCUUCAACAUGUCUGAUUCAUUUGGUAGCACCUUUCACUCUUCCACUCCAAACUCCACCCUCAAUUCCCAUGCACCCCCCAAAAUCACCACAUUCUGCUCAAUAGCCCAACCUUAUUGCAUUUGCACCCACUGCAACCACAUCCUCACCUUCAACCACCAUGUUGGUAAUGUAGCAGAGGAAGGGACAAAUAGCACAGGGUCCCAUAAUAAUAAUUUGCAGUCCCAGCAGCAACAAAGCACAAGGUGGAGUCCAACCCCAGUUCAGUUACUAGUCCUUGAGGAAUUGUAUAGGCAAGGCACAAAAACACCCUCAGCUGAACAAAUUCAACAAAUAGCUUCACAGUUACGCCAGUUUGGGAAGAUUGAAGGGAAGAACGUGUUCUACUGGUUCCAGAAUCACAAGGCCAGAGAGAGACAGAAGCGGCGUAGAAGGGAAAUGGAGGAAAAUAAUAAUAACAAUAUUUCUGCUUCUUCUUCUGGUGAAGGGUUGAAAGAGACAGGUUGUGGAGUUAAAGAGACAAAGAAGUGGGCAUCCACUUCAAACUGCAGUGGACAUGCAGAGGAAUCUGCUGCACUGGAUAUAGCAGAAAAGGGAUCUAAUGGGUGGACUCAGUUUGAGGGGAAAGACAGCAUACAAGUUUUGAUGAGGAGAAACAUAGCCGAAAAACAAGCUAAGUUGCAGGAAAUUAUGGAAAUGCCUUGUUUCCCUCCUGUUACUAUGGAAGCAUCAACUCCUACAACUUCACACAGAAGAACAACGCAUUAUAACACACAACUUUUAACCCCUCAAAACUAUAAUAAUUUACCAUCUUCAGUCAUCAACAGAGAAAGUUUAAACUACUAUGGUGGUGAAGAAAAUGCAGCUCCUCGAACCCUUGACCUAUUUCCACACAAGAGGGAUGACCAACAUGGAAUUUCUCUUGCUGAGAGGAAAUCAUCUAUGUUCUGUGCAAGUGCUUCUAUGGACACUGAAGUCACCUCCAACAACCAGUUUUUUGAGUUUCUUCCUUUAAGAAACUGAAAGGGAUCAUAUCACUUGAUAUAUGGUACGUAGGUUCGUUUUGUAGAUGGUGGAUUGUAGAUGUUUGCCACGGCCAUCUUGAGAAGAAAUUAAAAAGUGACAAAGGAACGAAAGGUGGAAAAAAAAUCCAUUGCCGAAAACAACUCAUUGCGUAAAGGAAUGAAUAUUCAACAAAGAAGAUGUCCACAGGACCAGGGGUAGACAAAGCUUAAGUUCAGUGGGUCCUCUUUGAUGAAAAAGCUUGAGUUUGCCAGAAAUCAUUUG